CUGCGAUAAGCGCCGGUAAGGUGAUAUGAACCGUUAUAACCGGCGAUUUCCGAAUGGGGAAACCCAGUGUGACUCGUCACACUAUCAUUAACUGAAUCCAUAGGUUAAUGAGGCGAACCGGGGGAACUGAAACAUCUAAGUACCCCGAGGAAAAGAAAUCAACCGAGAUUCCCCCAGUAGCGGCGAGCGAACGGGGAGGAGCCCAGAGCCUGAAUCAGCAUGUGUGUUAGUGGAAGCGUCUGGAAAGGCGCGCGAUACAGGGUGACAGCCCCGUACACAAAAGCGCAUGUGCUGUGAGCUCGAUGAGUAGGGCGGGACACGUGGUAUCCUGUCUGAAUAUGGGGGGACCAUCCUCCAAGGCUAAAUACUCCUGACUGACCGAUAGUGAACCAGUACCGUGAGGGAAAGGCGAAAAGAACCCCGGCGAGGGGAGUGAAAAAGAACCUGAAACCGU
rnacentral:rRNA from 1 species